rnacentral:rRNA from 1 species
AGCCUUUAGCUCAACAAGUAUUAAAGGUCCCACCUGCCCAGUGACUAUUUUAAACGGCCGCGGUAUCCUAACCGUGCAAAGGUAGCAUAAUCACUUGUCCCCUAAAUAGGGACUAGUAUGAAUGGUCAAAUGAGGACUAAACUGUCUCUUACAUUUAACCAAUAAAACUGAUCUCUCAGUUAAAAAGCUGAGAUAUAAACAUAAGACGAGAAGACCCUGUGGAGCUUCAAACCAAGCCCAACCCUAAUGGAGUUCGGUUUUUAGUUGGGGCGACUUCGGAGUACAAAAAAACCUCCGACACAACCAUAUCAAGACCAACACGUCAACAUGUGUUCUUACUGACCCGGUGUUUAACAAAAUAUCCGAUCAAUGAACCAAGUUACCCCAGGGAUAACAGCGCUAUCCCCUUCUAGAGUCCUUAUCGACAAGGGGGUUUACGACCUCGAUGUUGGAUCAGGACACCCAAAUAGUGCAGCCGCUAUUGAAGGUUCGUUUGUUCAACGAUUAAUAGUCCUACGUGAUCUGA